rnacentral:rRNA from 1 species
AUGCGCCAAAUACGAAAUGUCGGUCAACGCAUUGAUGCGUUGGGCGUCCUCGCGCGGGCGCACGAACCAGGAGGCCGCGGCGGGUCUUGGCGGAGGGGUCUUAGGCUCCGGCGAGCUAGGGAGGUCCGGCAGCGCGAGGAACUGCGCAGGAACGAAGGCUGGGUGCGGAUCCGUUCAGCCUCGGGUCGGAGCUGGUUGGGCAGAGCUCGGCGCAGGAGGCGACACAGGGGAGGUCCAGCAAGGGGCGCAGCGCAGAUGAGGCUCCAGGCGGCGGUCGGUGGCCUCGGCAUCGUCCUCCUAGACGCACACGAGGAGCUUCUCCGACGGCAGUGCUAUUACAGAGAACAGAGAGAGAGAAUCGGGUGA